UGCAACCUGCGUCCGCGCCUGCGCAGAGCUCUCUCCUAGGAGGUGUGUGACCCAGCAGUGCGCACGACGCAUGCGUUUUUCCUCCGCCCUGCUAACGUCCGGAAGGGCAACUAUGAUUGUGCACCCUCCAGGUUAUGUUACCUUGGUCUCUCUCAAGUCUUGAAGAGUUUUUCACAGGAUGAAGUCAGAAGGUACUAUCUUAUAUAAGUGCAGAAGGCAAGGACGCUAAAUUCAUGUUUAUCAGGAAGUUUGAAAAGUAAUUUUAUCCCAGACCACAUUGCCAGAAAUAUGACCGCAAGCAAGGGAGGGACAGAGAGAAAGGGGGACAGAGACUCUGAAGCAGGCUCUGUGCUAACAGCAGUGAGCAUUAUGUGGGGGUGGAAGUCACGAACCCUGAGGUCAUGACCUCUGAGCCAAGGUCAGAAGUUCAAUGGACUGAGCCACCCACGUGUCCUGCAGAUUAUAAAACCAAGGCUUGAAGGGCUUAAGUAUGAGGUCAUACUUAAGUGUGAGGUCAUAUGUAGGGCUGGGACCAGACUCUGAUACUUGUGAGUUGUUUCUUCCAUUACCUUUUGUUGCCAAAUACAAGAAGAAAUGAAUAUGUCGUAUAAAAAAUGUAGGGUUAAACUAUUCUUUAAAAUGUUUUGCAACUAAAAUGAUUUAAAACUGACCAUUAUGUAUAAUAUUGAAAAGAGAAAAUCCUUGUCUAUUUGGUCUUUAUGACUGCUCACUGCUGUUAUAGGUGGCGAGCAAUAAAUAAAAUAAGUUCACAGAAAUAAAACAAGUGCUCUGGCUACCAUUUAUUUUGGCAAUUGUCAGGAAAGAUGAAUUAGCCAGCACAGAUUCCCCAGAGGCGGCAUGAUGUGUAAGACUAAUAAAACGAUACCUGAUGAUUCCCUUGGAGAAGGAAAGAAUAACCUCAAAGAAGAAUCAGAAUUAACAAGAAAUGAGACCAAUCUUUCACAGCGCCAUGAAGGUUAGAAAGAUAAAGCUAUAGUACUCUAAAAGCCAUGAAAUUACUUCUAAAGGCAAUAAUCGAUUUAGUGGGAAACAUUAGAAAACUACAAGUCAAAAAACAACAUCAACAAGAACGGUAAGCCCUGGAGGUCACAGCUAUCGAGAAAGUGCCUGGUAAAUCCUGUUUCCCUCCCCCUGCUCCUCAGCCAAGAUUGAUUCUAUGCUCAAUCCUGAGCCUGAAACAACUGUUUCCUGAGGAGAAACCUUUUUAUUUACUAUGAUUUACUUUUUCUUUACUUGCUUCUUGCAGAAAAGGAGGGAAGAGAGGAGGGAGGAAGGGAAGGAGGGAAAGAUGAAGAAAGAGUGGGAGGGAAAGAAGAAAGAAGAAAUGCAGCAAAGGGGAAAAAAGAAAAGAAAAAUAAGUCUACCACUGUCCAUUUCCUUCUUUGCUUACUUUCUUUGCUAGAUUGGUUGAUCAAAAACCCUUCAAUGGAAUAGAUUAAUUGUGUAUUCUUGCUUUUCACAAGAAUAUGAUUGUGUAAAUCAUCACAGGUAAUGAUUUUCUUGAUCAUUUCAAGUCUUUUCUGAAUAGUAUGCAUUGCUCUGUGUUCUGAUAAUCUGCAUCAACUCUUCUUGCAUUCAACUGCCAAUUUGCAACUACGUGGCUGGAACUGGAACUGGAGGGUAUUAUGCUAAGUGAAAUUAGUCAGUCAGAGAAAGACAAAAAUCAUAUGACUUCACUCAUGAGGACUUUAAGAGACAAAACAGAUGAACAUAAGGGAAGGGAAACAAAAAUAAUAUAAAAACAGGAAGGGGGACAAAACAGAAGAGACUCAUAAAUAUGGAGAACAAACUGAGGGUUGCUGGAGGGGUUGUGGGAGGGGGGAUGGGCUAAAUGGGUAAGGGGCAUUAAGGAAUCUAUUCCUGAAAUCACUGUUGCACUAUAUGCUAACUAAUUUGGAUGUAAAUUAAAAAAAAUAAAAUAAAAAAACAAGUUAAAAUAAAUAAAAUUUCAAUUUAUAAUUGGUUAUUUAGCUGACGCUUCACUGUGCCUAUUCAGCCUGUUCUGCUGGCACUGGAGACUGAGAUGGAAGACAGUCUCAGUGUUCAAGUGAUAUGCCCCGAUUCGAGAGACCCCCGAAAACAAUCCACCAGAGUCCAGAGUCAAAGCCAAGCAGCAAGGGUCGUUUAUUGCAGGUUCGAACCGGGUCCUCCACGCACUCGUUGCCGGUGAUGCUAAGAGGCCCCGAGCAAGGAUCUUACAGCUUCUUUUAUAGACAGGCACAAACAAGUUAGGGAUUUUUUGCGGUUACAGAGCUGUUAUUGGUCGACAUUUAAAUUUGAACACUCAGCAGAACUUGAUUGG